rnacentral:pre_miRNA from 1 species
UAAAUACUCCCUCCAUCCGAAAAUACUUGUCAUCAAAAUGGAUAAAAUGAUAUGUAUCUAAAACUAAAAUACGUCUAGAUACAUUUCCUUUUAUCCAUUUUGAUGACAAGUAUUUCCGGACGGAGGGAGUAUUUG